CCAGUUACAUUAAAUGAGAAUUUGACUACGCCUUCUUUGUUUGAUUGUAUUGGACUUUAGCCACAUUUUCAAGAUGAUGAAUCUACAAUUAAACAGACAACAGAAAUGGGAAAUCUCUGCUAGAUCAAGAGAUGAAGAAUGGCAUUCUGAUAACAAUGAUUUUAGGAGGAUCUUCCCAGGGACCUAUCAGUGAUACUAAUAGAGUUACUUCUAUUCUCCAGUGCCAUGGAGAUUGUGACCCUUUAGUUCUCCUAAGGGUUGUUUCUCUUAUUGUUCUACAAUUAAAAUCACUGGUAAAAGCAGCCAAUGUAAUCUUCAAAGUCUAUGGAGGCAUGACACACAGUUCAUGUCAGCAAGAAAUGAUGGAUGUCAAACAAUUUAUUGAUAUACUCAUAUAUCAAAUUAAU
rnacentral:lncRNA from 1 species